GACGAACGCUGGCGGCGUGCUUAACACAUGCAAGUCGAACGAUGAAGCCGGAGCUUGCUCUGUUGGAUAAGUGGCGAAGGGUUGAGUAAAAGGUGAGUAACCUGCCCUUGACUCGGGGAUAGGCGUGGAAAACGACGCCUAAUACCGAAUACGAGCUAGGACCGCAUGGUCACUGGCUGGAAAGAAUUUCGGUCAAGGAUGGACUCGCGGCCUAUCAGUUAGUUGGUGAGGUAACGGCUCACCAAGACGACGACGGGUAGCCGGCCUGAGAGGGUGACCGGCCACACUGGGACUGAGACACGGCCCAGACUCCUACGGGAGGCAGCAGUGGGGAAUAUUGCACAAUGGGCGCAAGCCUGAUGCAGCAACGCCGCGUGAGGGACGACGGCCUUCGGGUUGUAAACCUCUUUUAGCAGGGAAGAAGCGCAAGUGACGGUACCUGCAGAAAAAGCACCGGCUAACUACGUGCCAGCCGCCGCAGUAAGAC
rnacentral:rRNA from 1 species